rnacentral:rRNA from 1 species
CAGCCCUUGACAUGCCCGGCUACUUGCAGAGAUGCAAGGUUCCCUUCGGGGACCGGGACACAGGUGCUGCAUGGCUGUCGUCAGCUCGUGUCGUGAGAUGUUGGGUUAAGUCCCGCAACGAGCGCAACCCUCGCCCUUAGUUGCCAGCAUUCAGUUGGGCACUCUAAGGGGACUGCCGGUGAUAAGCCGAGAGGAAGGUGGGGAUGACGUCAAGUCCUCAUGGCCCUUACGGGCUGGGCUACACACGUGCUACAAUGGUGGUGACAGUGGGCAGCGAGCACGCGAGUGUGAGCUAAUCUCCAAAAGCCAUCUCAGUUCGGAUUGCACUCUGCAACUCGAGUGCAUGAAGUUGGAAUCGCUAGUAAUCGCGGAUCAGCAUGCCGCGGUGAAUA